AGAUAUUCCAGGUUCGUCCCCAGCAGAGUCGCCAGAGCUGUCACACCUCCUUUUGGCUACUACAACCCGACGAAGGGCGUAGAUAAGAGAGUUUUUCCAAUUAAACGACGACUGAGACAUGAUUCAAUUAUUUAAGAGAUUUCAGAGUCGCCACUUGGGAGAUUUAUGGUGUCCCAAGUCACCAUUUAGAAUCCCAAAUAGAGGAAAGAAUGACUCUGUUUAACAGUCCGCAAACCAGAAAUCUAGGUAAAGAAUUCUGUUGACCAAGGUUGCCGAGUUCCGUGGUUCUAGCACAUUCGC
rnacentral:lncRNA from 1 species